GCAUUGAUAGCUCAGUGGCAGAGCGGUGGGGCGUUUACCCAUGCGGCCCGGGUUCGAUUCCCGGUCGAUGUA